rnacentral:rRNA from 1 species
CCUACGGGGGGCUGCAGUGAGGAAUAUUGGUCAAUGGUCGGACGCCUGAACCAGCCAAGUAGCGUGCGGGAUGAAGGCCCUACGGGUCGUAAACCGCUUUUGCACGGGGAUAACACCCUCCACUUGUGGCUGUCUGCAUGUACCGUUCGAAUAAGGGCCGGCUAAUUCCGUGCCAGCAGCCGCGGUAAUCCGGAAGGCCCGAGCGUUAUCCGGAUUCGUUGGGCUUAAAGGGAGCGUAGGCGGGCGUUCAAGUCAGCUGUAAAAUCGCGCGGCUCAACCGCGCCCCGCAGUUGAAACUGGAAGACUUGAGUUGAAAACAGGCAGGCGGAAUGCGUGGUGUAGCGGUGAAAUGCAUAGAGAUCACGAGGAACCCCGAUUGCGAAGGCAGCCUGCCGGGGUGCGACUGACGCUGAGGCUCGAAGGUGCGGGUAUCAAACAGGAUUAGAUACCCGGGUAGUC